rnacentral:lncRNA from 1 species
AAUGAAUGAUUGUUGUGGUUGCUCUGAAAACCAAGACUGUUGCAAAUAUAGUAUAUUAGUUAUAGGACAAAUAUACGACCGUGUUGAGAAUAAAUGAGACACUCACGUUCACUUUUUUGUUGCGCCUGUGCGUUGUAAGCAGCAAUGUACUCUGAUUGUUGUCAGAUGAAUGCCAUUUUCUCUUAUCGCAACUCUUCAUGAAACCUUCCUUGCUGCUCCCUUAUUGUCACACCCGGUUUUGGAAGGUAAACCGAAUGCGAACCAUGUACGUGCCAGGAUCAGAAAUUCACGUACACGGCGAUUACAUAAAUGACUCAUCAUAGCACAAUGCUUCGAAUAACAAUAAAGAUAAGUAAUAAUAUGAAAGACUAGAGUCAUUUACAUAAUAUAACCAAAGUACACAGAACAGAAACGUAGCCAACGUAAAUAAACCCACCACAGGCAGCUGACUGGGGGAGGUCGCUAGCCUAAUCCUCAAACUCGCCGAAGUCCUGAAACUCCCGGAGAUCCGCCUCGACGCCUUCUUCUUUACUUGAGCAUAGAUUGCACCAAAGGCAACAUGGUGUUUUGUGAAAGCAAGGGUGAGUACACAUCAACGUACUCAGCAAAUGCCCCGUUUGGCUGAAGUGGACUAGCUUUUUAUGUGGGGUUAAGCUCAAGCAGUUGCUUUUAGUUGGUCAGGUAUUUAUUAUCAGUGGAAGCCAAGUUUUAGUAAUAACCAACCCGUGAACCAUUUCCUCAUCGAGGAAACAUCAUUAUCAUCAUCGAACCAAAAUCAUAAAUAGAACCAUAACAUCUUGAACCAUCUGUAUCUCUAAUCAAAGAGGAUCCCAAGGCCGCUCAUAACCGUGAGCAUGGCUGAUAUAUCAGUUUCACUACCCUCUGCAGAGGUCGCACACUUUACCCAUGAGUCGUGAUUCCCAUUUUGCCCGGGGAUCAUGACUCCCCAUUGAUCACUUCCUAGGUGGUCCGGCAGGGUAUCACUACGUAGCUUUUACAAAGAUUCCCUAGAGGUCAUAGCCGCCUGUUAGGUUUCUCCAGUUUGAUAAACACAGUACCCCUCCCCGCAGGAGAGUGACUAACCAAAAAGCAAAACGAAAGAACCUCGGCACUCAGCCUCGGCAGAGCAAGCACUGUGCUUGGACCCCAUUGACGACACGACGGCGAAGCAACUACACCUCUAGUUCCUCUAAUUAAUUAGCUAAGGGCAUCACAUUUCACCCUCAUGGUUGCACUGUUAUCCCGGGUGGUCUCUCAACGAACAGGUCCUUACGGAGAGGUACUCGGGAAACAGCCCGAGUCCCCUAAAUGCCACAAGUAUAUCAUCAUAUCCAGAAUAAAAUCAUAGUAUCAUCAUUGUAUCUCAUCUUGUUCAUUGAUUAAAGUAAAGCGCUAGCAUGUAGCUAACCAUAACACGCACGACAGGCGAGAGAACUAAAUAGGUGACGUGUUUAUACUAAACAAGUAUUAAUAAGAAUAUUUAAUUCGAUAUAAUUAUAUUAAUUAGCAUUUAUGAAAUAUAGAUUAAAGCUACUUAGUUUUGACUAACUUACUGUUUUUAUUGUGGAUGAUUAAAUAAAUAAAUAAUUAACUGACAUGAGUGAUUAUAAGGGAAUAGUUUAAUCUCGCGCGCGGACAACGCGCGAUACGCGCGAACGGCGUGGCAAGGCGCGCGACACACGCGAACGGCGCGCGGCAACACGUGCGAACAAUACGCGCGACACUCGCGAGUGAUGUGCGACGAAGCGGACAAACAACGCGUGACGACACGCGCGGCAGCGCGCGAAACGGCACGCGGCAACACGUGAAACAGCAUGGCGCGUGAACGACACGCAUGACACGCGCGAAGCAACGCACGUGACACUCAAGAAUAACAUAUUGAUGCCAUGUUUAUACUAAGAAUCUAUUAAUUUAAAAUGGUUGAGUUGACAUUAAUCAUAUUAACAUGUAUUUAAAAAACAAAAAUUAAAACUAUACAUUAGGUUUAAUUGGAAGGUCAUUUUUAAUAACUACCGAACGAACAAUUAAUUAAUUAGUUAAAUAAACAUGUGUCAUGACCAAAUAGUACUUUCAAUGAGUAUACAAUAUUAUUGCGAAGUUGACACAACUAAAACGAGUCGAAAUAAGUUUACGAUGCAAAAGAUAUUGAAUACUUAAUCAGCCACAGUUUACUACGAUCUGACGCAAUUCUAUUGGCUGAUGGCUUACCACACUGAGAGCCACACAAAGAAAAGCCACAAAGCAUCCUGGGAUCUAGCUAGAUCGUGGUGCACUAGGAGAUUGAAACGUGGCCAUGAAUCAUGGGAAUAGACUAACGGUUCCCUUUUCUGGCUUCUUCAACCCACGAACACAUAUUUUCCUCUCUCCUACACCUUUGACGGAACGAGUGGUUGCAAAGCACGGGGGUCGCAUGGGAGGCAGGGCACGGCUGGGUGGGCUCGCCGGCGAGCGGGGCUUACGGUGGCGAUUGGGCGCGCAGGGGCUCUGCCCAGGCCGUUGCGCCUGGCAGCAGGCCGGCUAGCUGUGCCGUCGUGCCGAGGCUGGCGGUUCGGUCAGCCAUGGCCGCGAAGGGCGUUGUAGGGAGGGGCUGCAAGGGUAGACGCACGACCACACAACAGAGAGAGCGAGGACGGCUCAGCCGACUUCGCCGGGGAAGCGCGAAUGACGAUGGAUCGCCAUUGCCACAGCUCGGACGAGGCAAAGAAAACAAAAGAGAUGGCCACGCUCUGUACUCUCACCUUGCGACGAACUCGAUGAGGGAGAAUCACGGGCGUAGCCUUCUCCGGGCAUGGCAACGCGUAGCUUGGUGGCGAGCGCAACUCCAGGACUGCUAUGCAACUGAACUGCAGGGGGCUUGAAGUCCGAGCAACGUGGGCGGGCCAUGAUGGAGUGGGGGCUAGUUUCCUUGGCGUUCGGAUGCACGGGGCUGAGGCAGUUGUGAAGGGGGAAGCAAGGAGAUGAUAUGGGGGCCCGCUGCGCAAACAACG